AACUGAAUCGGAAGGCGAAGCAGCACCACCACCACCAGUCCGAGGCGGAACCACGCGAAAAAAACCCUAACCUGCAAACCAUCCUCACCUCCCCCGGCCAUCCACCACCGUCGACCCUCCGAUGGCGGUGGCGCCACCGCGCCCCUGAUCCCGCUCCUCCGCGCCGCGUACCCUUCCCCAUGCCCUGAUCGCCCCCCGCCCCUCCCAGCGUCUCCCGGACACGCGGCGGCCAUGUCCCUCGGCGCGGCCUCCGGCGACCUCCCGGCCACCGGAGGCGGAAACGGCGCGGUCCCGGGCGGAGAGCUGAGCAGGCCGUCGGUCGCGAUGACGAGCCAGCAGAGGCUCAGGCCGAGCCCUAACAAGGACCACACGCCGGACAGCUACGACGACCUGCAGCUGGACUUCAGCCCCGCGAUCUUCAGCUCGCUGGAGCGGUACCUGCCGUCGACCAUGCUGGGGGUCUCGAGGGACGAUAAGGUGAAGUUCAUGAGGGGGAUUCUGCUCAAGUACUUGCCUCACGGGGAGCGAAACAGAGCUCAAAGGCAUAGAGAAUACAGGCAGAAGAUAAUCUCAAAUUAUCAGCCUUUACAUAGAGACAUAUACAUCAUGCACCCUUCAGCAUUCUUUGUCCCAACGUUUCUCAAAGCAAUCAAUGAUAAUACAGAGGAGAGUUUGAGAAAUAUUAUGUCUGAACCGUCUCCUGGUGUCUUUACAUUUGAGAUGUUUCAACCGCAAUUCUGUGAAUUGUUGCUCUCUGAGGUGAAAAAUUUUGAGCAAUGGGUAAAUGAGGUAAGAUUUAGGAUAAUGAGGCCCAAUACCAUGAAUAAAUAUGGAGCUGUGCUUGAUGAUUUUGGCCUAGAGACAAUGUUGGACAAACUGAUGGAGCAAUUUGUUCGUCCUAUAUCAAAAGUAUUCUUUCAUGAAGUUGGUGGAUCCACCCUUGAUUCUCAUCAUGGCUUUGUUGUCGAGUAUGGUAACGAUAGGGAUGUUGACUUAGGUUUUCAUGUUGAUGACUCAGAAGUAACUCUAAAUGUGUGCUUGGGUAAGCAAUUUUCUGGUGGAGAGCUGUUUUUCCGGGGCACACGUUGUGAUAAGCAUGUGAACACAGGCACUCAUUCAGAGGAGAUUUUCGACUAUAGCCAUGUACCUGGGAGAGCAGUGCUUCAUCGUGGUCGUCACCGACAUGGUGCUCGGGCCACAACUUCUGGUCACAGGAUUAAUCUACUCCUGUGGUGUAGAAGUUCAAUGUUUAGGGAGAUGAAGAAGUAUCAAAAGGAUUUCUCCAGUUGGUGUGGAGAGUGCUUGCGUGAGAAAAAGGAGAGGCAGCAACAAUCAGUAGUUGCUACCAGAUCGCUUUUCAAUUCAGCAUUGAUGGGGGACCUAUUACGUGUGCUCUGGACUUCAUGAAGAAAGUUAGAUCCAAAGGUCGUAGAAGAUCUAGCACACUAGCUCAAUCAUCCCUCUGCAAUCUCAUUGAGUUGUGCGGAUCCAAUAAAACAGUUAUGUAAAUAGGGUUUGAUGGAGCUGCUUAGAAGGGAAGGAGAAUCAAAGGCCUGACUUGAUCCAGUACCAAUUUGUGCUUGGGCUCUUUUUCAAUAAGCUAGGCUUCGUUGAGACACCAAAGCUGCUGCUCGGAGAAACUAAACAUUGCUUUGUGCUUUGCAGCGAUGCACAACCAGUGUACGUAAAGAAUUGUUAAAAUAAGGGGGAGUAUUUAUCCGAGUAUCCAAAUGGAAAUGAUCAUCUGUUCGACUACGUAUCAUUUGUCUUUCUUCAGGAGGAAAUUUAGCAGCUUCUAGGUGGACGUUGUAUAUCUGCUAUCUCUAACGAAUUCUGCUUAUGUCUUCUUCUUUUUUAUUAUGUAAUAUUGUGCUUUUUUCCGCCUUUGACAUCAAAUAGCAGCAGCGGUGAAAUGUACAUUAUUUCCUUUGCUAGUGUUUCUUGUCGGAUGUUUUGAUCCACUGAUGUGAUGAAGAUUCAUUGAUUUGAUCC